rnacentral:tRNA from 1 species
GGCUUUAUAUCUUCGAGCACGCGACUAAAAAUCGCGGUGUCGACAGUUCGAUUCUGUCCUGGGCCACCA